rnacentral:lncRNA from 1 species
AUGAAAGGCACAGAAGCGGGAGGUGGUGGGCGGCUGGAGCUGCCCGCUCCUUCCUGCGGGGCUGCCAUGGCCAGGAGCUUCCUCACGGCUCUUGAUAAACCCCAAAUCUUCUGCGGGACGGGAGUUAUCUUCCGGGCUUUGAGCUCUCGCUGUUCCCUAUCUCAGGUUUCUUCCGUCAGCCCAUGUGAGUCACGGCUGUCAUGCAAGCUGGCUUCAGGACCUGUACCUGCGAGGGUGAUUGCACAGAGCUGGCACCUUUCUACGAAUGCUCUUCAGGCGAACCAAGAUAGCAGGCAAUCAAAUCACAGAAGGUGUUUCAGAUUCUUGUGGAGGCGAAGCAGGGGGGAAGAAAACACCAAAUCUCUCUUCCAUAGAGAACAGUUUCUGAAGCAUGGAGCUCCCUGGGGCCAGGCCUCCUGCCAGGAAAACCAGGAUGUCUUCCUGCUGGAUUUCACAAGCAGGAAAUCAAUUGCUGAGAGGUUCCCGCUGGGAGAUUUGUGUCUCAUGAAAUUCAUGCCGGGGGCAGAGAGGCAGGCUGGGGAGCUGGAGACGACAGCUCUGUCUUCCUCCUCUCUGCUGCUUUAAUUGUUUGUAAUGACUUAAUAAGCAGCACUAAACAGGAAAGCUGAUCCUUCCCUGCAGCAAGCACAGGCAUGAGGCGUUUUAUUAACUUUCCUAGAGCCUCUGCUUGGAAUAUCUUUGCUGUAUUUUCCUUUCUAUGGCCUCAAUCCAAAGCCUCUGGAAAUUGAUAGGAAAGCUGCUGUUGACUCUGUGGUAUCAAGGCUUCAAGUACUGAGCCAGAACCAAACCGUGCAAUGAUCUUGGAGGGAAAUAGCAUGGAGAAAUGGCAUAACUCACAGCCAUGAAAGUGUCUGUGCCUUGGCACUCUGUAUAUACAGAUGCAUACCAGAGAGAGAGAGCAAAUUAAGCAUGAAAAGCACUGUUUGCUGAAGGAUGACUGGGAAUAGCUGGCCGUUCAGGCUGGGAAUGAGGAGGAACUCCUGGCCAUCAGCAAGAGGAGGUGGAUGGAGAGCUGCUGUGCAUCCAGCGGCUCGCUAGCUCCAAUUUUCAGCUGCAGAUUCUGCCUCACCUGUGAGUGUGUUCAUUGAUGGCAUACAGGUAAAAACAAAGGAGUUUGCCAAUGAUAACUUAUGGAAUUUUGUCCAGUGGUUGCAAAAUCCAGUCUUCAAUUUACAUAUUCUUAGAAAUGUCCACUGCCUUGUACAGAAAAUCAAAAGAAUUCAAUAUUCCAGUAUUUAAGUCAGUGUUAAGCUACAGCAUUGUCCCCAGCAGAUGCCACCUCCCUGCCUCACAGGGACUGAGGACACAGCACUGCCCAGUGCCAACAAACCUUUGCCCUCUCAUUUGUUCUCGGUAGCAGCACACGGGGCUCAGCAGUGAAUGGAUGCUCUUCUCUGGCCAGUGGGCAUUUAUCACCCGUGAGCUACCCUGCAGCAGCGAUGUGGAAGAAAAGCACAAAGUGAAGUAAUUCACUGGCUGUUCGUUGUGCUGUGGUGUUGCAAGGCUCAGGAAGGAGCUGCGCCUCUGGGCAAACAGCUCAUGAUGAAAAACUUGUGGAUUUGGUCUCUUUAAUCCGUUCACAAAUUCCUUGCAUCCAUUUGGAUGCUUGAUAAUAUUUCCUGGGAGAAGCAUGUCUUGUGCUCGGAGCAGCCCAGGAGCAGCUCCUGAGGACCAAGCAGGAGAAGUGGCAGCGGGGCAGGGACCCCACAUCCCAGCUCCUGCCCCAACCUCAGGCUGGGUCCCACGGGUCCCACCUCACCCCUUUGGGUGCCCCCGGUUGGGUUCGCUCGUGCUGGUGCCACAGCCCCGUGCAUCCCUGUGAGGCUGCGUGGGACUUGACGUGACAUGGUGACAUGCACCUCGGUGUCAACAAGGUGACACUUUAAUGCUGCUGCUGUCGGCUCGUCAGGCAGUGCCCACACAGCCUGUCUGGAGACAGCUGGGGAGGAGAAGGCUCAGGAGAACCGGGAUGAGGUGCCACGUGCCACCCCCUGCUGCCAAGGCCUGACUGGGAGCCAGGACUGGGGGGUGACCCACAAGGGCCAGGCAGGAGGGGCUGUUGGCUGUGUCAGUGACAGACUAAUAAUUAUCUUUGCACAAAGGUGAAAAAGCAUCAGUUUGCAUGGCCUGAAUCUGAUAUGAACCAUGAACCAGAUCUGAUAAUUCUUGCUGCACGUUACAGGAGCUGUGCUGAUCUCCUCUGCUCUGAAAUAUUAUCUGUGCAGCUUAGCUGGGAACAAUAUUGAAGUCCUGAACCUACUAAUAAAAGUCACACCCAUAAUCCA